GGGAAGCCUUGCUGGGAGACCUAGGCCAGCUCGCAGCUCAGCUGGUGGCCGGCGGAGGGUUUCUUACUGUGACACCAGCAGAAGCCAAGACCAGUGCGGACGGCUGUUCUCGCUGACGGGCCCUGCA
rnacentral:lncRNA from 1 species